UACGUAGGUGGCAAGCGUUGUCCGGAAUUAUUGGGCGUAAAGCGCGCGCAGGUGGUUCCUUAAGUCUGAUGUGAAAGCCCACGGCUCAACCGUGGAGGGUCAUUGGAAACUGGGGAACUUGAGUGCAGGAGAGAAGAGUGGAAUUCCACGUGUAGCGGUGAAAUGCGUAGAGAUGUGGAGGAACACCAGUGGCGAAGGCGACUCUUUGGCCUGUAACUGACGCUGAGGCGCGAAAGCGUGGGGAGCAAACGGG
rnacentral:rRNA from 1 species